UUGGGCGUUCAACAUAUCUCGCAGACGCGGAAGCCGAGCACAAGGCGUCUCGCCUUCCACCUGUUUGGUUUUGCACGCUUACUUGCGCAUGCCGAUGCACUAACGGAUUGACUGAAACAUGUGCCUGCUCUCGAGUACGUGACAGCUAUCUCCUGCUUUAGAGUGGAAAAUUCCGAUGUCGGCGUACGAGUGCUCAUGGUGCAGUUCUUUUUCAAAGCAAACUCGGUUGCAAGUUUUCCUGUCCGACUUCUGCACUCCUCUUUGCGAGAUUUACCUUAGUUGCACUCCUAUUACAAGUGCACUGCAGUUUGUGAUUGUGAUAUUAGCCCUUGUCUCAAUUUCUUUCCCAACUUUCGAAUAACGAAUUGAACAUUAUCCUGUUUGAUUUGACCACGAGUGGUAUAGUCACUACAGUAGAGCUUCAGUAAUUCGAACUCGCUUAUUUGGGCAUUCCAAAUCGUUAAAGAAAAAGCUGUUUGAAUGAUUGAGCAAAUCAAGUGGUGGCUGUAAGCCAUGCUGAAAGUGAAUUCAUCUUUGGCUUAUCUCGGCUGCUCAUGGUAGUGCGAAUUCCUUGACAAAAUUUUCUAUUGUACAUGUUUGUUUGUGUCGAAUGUAUUGAAAAUUCGGAAUACUGAAAUUAAAACCAAUGCAAAUAUCUAAUAACAUAACAUUCAAUCAAAUAUUUGCAAAAGCCUACAUUAUAGGGAAUAGCAAGAUGACUCUGGAUGUAGUUCAGUCUUCUUGUGACACAGCAGCAUGUGUUCCACACAUAGACUUUAUUACAGUAUAGCCAAGUACAAUAAAUGAUAUAUUCGACACACCGUCAAAACUUGUACAUGUAUAUAUUCAACACACUGUGCAAACUUGUACAUGAAGUGUGGUACAUGAAGUGGUGCAGGGUUUGAGACCUGCCUGGCUGAACUACUCAAACAGUUUGGUGCAGAAUUUUCUUAAAUUGUGUGAGAGCUAUAGAGGUAAACCUUCGCCUUCUGCGGAAGUGUAGCGGUUUGUUAAUUACUUGAAGCGCAGUGACACCAGUAGGCUUUGGAAUGUCGCAGAAUUUGAGAGUGCAAGUCCAAGAUCCUGCAAGUCACAGAAUUUGAUAGUUUCCUUUAGUUUCAAAGUAAUUAAUACAGUGGAACCUUGUUAAUGUGAUCUUCGCAGGAACCAGAAAAUAAAAUAUAUCAUCUAAAAAUCGUAUCAUCCAAAGCAAGCCCCAAAACGUAAGAAAACUCUUGGUGACAAACUCGCUAGCAAUGCUUCCUGUGGAGUCGAGUAAUACUACUCCGCAUAACACACAUAUUAUGCAGAGAAGCAUCACGACACCGCACAAACCGCAGACAACACACUUUUAUUGAGCAACUUUAUAACAGUUCGUGAGUUUUCACUGAACUUCCUUUAUUUCAAAGUCCGUAAACAAGUUAUUUUGAAAGAUAACAAGUUCCUUGACAUAGCUCGUGGCACUACGAGCCCAAUAAUUCCGAAACAAAGGAACAUCGUAGAGAGCGUGACACAACGAGCAAUACGGAUGAGGGCAGGCGGUUCAUUCUGCCACGUGACCGUGAAGAUCUCACCUGAAAAGCCCCCCCCCCCAGAAAAAAAAACAAGCGUGAGCGAAAGUUGACGCAAGCAGACGAUACUACGGGUGCGAAAAUAGUGGUCGGGCGGGUCCGCAUGACACCAGUUUCCGCGCCACGGCCAGUCUGGAGGGGCGUGCCGUGCACAUUCCCUUCCUUCUUCGAGCACGCACCGUCAGACCAGCCGUGCCCUGUGCGUGAUCAGCAAACGGGGCAGCUCUCAUUGGUCUGCUUCGGUCGCGGCUCGUUUGCCACCGGGGCGCGCGGCAAUUUAAAUCAGUCCAGGACCGAUCCCUCCCACAGCACGAAAAACCUGCUUCGCGGUAGCUCUUGUGGCACGCGUUUUGCCGCCGCCAGCUCGCAUUUUUCCUGCUAGUGUCGCCGGCCCUUAACACGUUAUUCGUGGGUCGUUGGUAUGUAAUUUAAUCUAGUACACUUGAUUAUAAAGCUACGAGUUUGCAGUCGUAUCAUACAAUUUCAGGUGAAAACGCGACCGUAUCGACCACAUAAAAAUAC